CAGGAGUUUAAAGGGAAUUUCUAAGCUUUUAUGACUGGUCCCUGGAGAGCUCUUCCACUUUACAGAAGUUUUCUGCUUCUGCAGAAGAAUAUCUUACAACAUAUUAGGCACUGGAUGAAAGGAAAGAUACUACAUUGAUGAUGUAAUACUCUGUCCAUUCCCGGUUCCAAUAAUACACAAUGAGAACCCUGACUUGCCUCUAAUUUUUACAGAAAACUCCAUGAGCUCAGGGGAGAACCCUAAGAAAUCUGAUGGAACCUUUGGACAAAUUCUUGAAUACAGCAUAAACCAGAAAUGGUCAGAGAGCAUCAUUUAUGUAGACUUUACCCCCAGUCCUUGACGCUGCAUCUCCAAAAACAUUCCGUUUUUUAGACUUGAUUCCUUUACUUUGCUUAUAGAGUCUCAGCCCAAGUUUACUGAGGUCACUGACUGUUUUUCCUCUGCCUUCAGUGCAUUUGGUUUGAAAACCAGUUAAAUCAACCUGCUAUCAUCAGUAGUUCUCGUAAGAUAUAGAAGUCCAGAAACUGUUCAGAACCACCACUUCUGUGUAAUUUUCUGUCACAUCAAGUCUUGCAUGUUUUUAUCAGGUGCUUGUGUGUAGAGAGUGUUGAAAAUACUCCUCAUAGGUAAUAAUAUUAUAUUUGCUUUUUUAUUAAUGAUUAUUGGUAUGCUUGAAGUGCAUUUCAGGAUAAGGAGUACAAAGACUUCCUGAGACAUAAAAAUUGAUUUGAGAAUCUCAGUCCAUUUGCAGAAGAUUUCACUGUUACCAUAAAAGCUUGCCUUGAUUGUUUUGGCAGUACUGUUCAUCCACUUGUGAAGGUCUUUAAGCUGUAACUUUUUUUUUGCUUUAGCAGCUCAGCUUUUUUUUUCUUUUUACAUCAUCUUCCUGCUUUCCUAGCCUGUGCACGGAUUUAAGCAUAACUCAUCUGCAAAUCUAAAGAGAAAAGGAGAGAACAUUAAUCUAACCAGUUUUGAAAAGAAACCUGGACAGUUUUGUUUUUUUUUAAUCUUGCAUGGACUCUUCGACAUGUGUAGGUGGACCUACAGAACUGAGUGGGGGAAAUGGCAUGGCAAUAAGUCCCUAACUUAGAAUUCCCCUCUCUCACUUUCUUUCCGCACCCUUCACCUACCCCCUCUCUUCCUUUCAGAUGAUAUAAUUAAUUUCCUUUAGCUUUACUGUGCAUUUACAUUUUAGAAAGAUAAAAAGUACCAAUUUCACUUCUGGACAAAUAUGAAUUAAAUUGUCCUGUAGAAUGUGCCCAAAAUGGAAAAUAAUAAAAAGAAACACUAUAAAGUGUAUCA
ensembl:lncRNA